GAUCGCUGACAUUCCCCCCUUCUUCAGAACCGGCUUGUCCCCAAGCCGGGGCACGAGGAAACAACUGACGAAGUGAAUCCUUAUCCUCCCAGGUUGCCGAAGAAGCAUCCCCUCCACUCCACUGAACUAGGACUUGUGCCAACGAUCGGUUGUCGGCGCGGCGAAGGCGCUCCUGCAGUAUCUUAACAGGGAACUGAAGAUGAGCAUCAACAGAAGGAAGCGACUUGAGUACCUCAUGUUGUGGAUGCACACAGCACUUCAACUGUGAAACAUGGAAUACAGGAUGAAUACGACUAGCUGCUGGCAACUGUAAGCGAUAAGCCACUUCGCCAAUCUUCUCCAGAAUCAGAAACAGACCAAAAUACUUGAAAGCAAGUUUAUGAUUUGCCCUGUGCACCACUGAUGAUUGUACAUACGGCUGGAGUUGAAGGAAUACUCGAUCUCCCACAGCAAAUGUUCUUUCAGUGCGUUUCUUGUCAGCCUGAUGUUUCAUCCUUUGCUGAACACGCAACAAAUGCUGGCGCACUGACUGCUGAACCACUGCUCGAGCAUCCAACCACUGCUGCAAAUCAACAGGAUCAAUUGAGUCUGAAGCCGAAAUCCCAAAAUGCCGAGGACCAUGACCAUAAAGAACCUCAAAUGGAGAUUUGUGAAGUGCUGAAUGCCAGUUGGUAUUGUACCAAAACUCACAAAGAUGAUAUGAUGUGCUCAUAUUAAGCACAGCUCCUGUCCUCUUCACUAGAGCUUGCCAGAAUUUGCUGGUGAAAACUGGAUCCCUGUCAGAUACUAUAAAGAGAGGCAUGCCAUGAAGCUUAUAAAUAUUGUCCAAAAAAAGUUCAGCAAUUUUCUGGGCUGUAUAUGGAUGUUUGACAGGUAUAAAAUGACCAUAUUUUGUAAAUUUGUCAAUGACCACCAUGAUGCAAUCAUACUGAUCAGAAGAUGGCAAUCCUGAGAUAAAAUCCAUUGUCACUGUCUCCCAAGCUUUUGCAGGAACAGGCAGUGGUGAUAGCAACCCAGGAUAAGCCACUCUCUCAGGUGACAGGAAAUCCAGAAUGACCACCCAAGGGAGUGUCAUGGAAAGCUUGGCAAAUUUUUGUGUGCAAACCACAGUCAUUGCCUACCCAAAUGCAACCCUUAUACCUCAGCACACCUUGUAACAAUUGAAAAUUGUUUUUGGACUUAGGCUGCACUGACAACUGUUGCAAUAAUUCCUGUGCCUUUAUGUCAUCCUUAUAACU